rnacentral:lncRNA from 1 species
CAGGCGGAAUGCUUCUAUUGUAAGAAGAAGGGGUAGUAGAAGAGGAAUUAUCCUCAGUACAUUGCCUCUUUAGAUCCAAACAGGCCGAGAAAGAAGUAAGUUAUUGCUGUACAAGGUAAUUAUAUGAUAACACCUUGUAAUUUCUCAAUUUGUGAUUCUACUACCUGGGUAUUAGAUACUGAAAGUCCUUUUAAUAUUUGCAAUUCAUUGCAGGAUCUGCAGGUCAGUAGAAGAUUUGAAGAAGAUG